GUUUGCCGGUUACAUUUGCUGAUUUUGAUGAAGUUGAACAAGCUACUAAGGUCAUGGAGCAGCUUCAGGGCAGCAUGCUGUCGUCGUCAGAUCGGGGUGGCAUGCACAUAGAAUACGCAAGGUCUAAAAUGAGGAAGCAUUAGAAGAAAGGGAAGCAAGCCAACCAAUGAAUUUAUGUUGUCUGAACCCUCUCAGGAUUGUCAUCAUUAGCCAACCAAUGAAUUUUGCUUCACAUGAUUCCUAGAAGUCAAGAAUUCAAAAAAGCAUAGGACAUUGUCAACAUCAGCCAACCAAGAUUUUUUGGUUUUAUCAAUUGCUUCAAAAUUUUAAGAUUUUUAAAAUGGAUAAACUCUAUCAGUCUCAUUAACUGCUACUAUAUAUUCAGCAUUUUUUGCUUU